GACGAACGCUGGCGGCGUGCCUAAUACAUGCAAGUAGAACGCUGAAGAGAGGAGCUUGCUCUUCUUGGAUGAGUUGCGAACGGGUGAGUAACGCGUAGGUAACCUGCCUUGUAGCGGGGGAUAACUAUUGGAAACGAUAGCUAAUACCGCAUAACAAUGGAUGACACAUGUCAUUUAUUUGAAAGGGGCAAUUGCUCCACUACAAGAUGGACCUGCGUUGUAUUAGCUAGUAGGUGAGGUAACGGCUCACCUAGGCGACGAUACAUAGCCGACCUGAGAGGGUGAUCGGCCACACUGGGACUGAGACACGGCCCAGACUCCUACGGGAGGCAGCGGUAGGGAAUCUUCGGCAAUGGGGGCAACCCUGACCGAGCAACGCCGCGUGAGUGAAGAAGGUUUUCGGAUCGUAAAGCUCUGUUGUAAGUCAAGAACGAGUGUGAGAGUGGAAAGUUCACACUGUGACGGUAGCUUACCAGAAAGGGACGGCUAACUACGUGCCAGCAGCCGCGGUAAUACGUAGGUCCCGAGCGUUGUCCGGAUUUAUUGGGCGUAAAGCGAGCGCAGGCGGUUUGAUAAGUCUGAAGUUAAAGGCUGUGGCUCAACCAUAGUUCGCUUUGGAAACUGUCAAACUUGUGUGCAGAAGGGGAGAGUGGAAUUCCAUGUGUAGCGGUGAAAUGCGUAGAUAUAUGGAGGAACACCGGUGGCGAAAGCGGCUCUCUGGUCUGUAACUGACGCUGAGGCUCGAAAGCGUGGGGAGCGAACAGGAUUAGAUACCCUGGUAGUCCACGCCGUAAACGAUGAGUGCUAGGUGUUGGAUCCUUUCCGGGAUUCAGUGCCGCAGCUAACGCAUUAAGCACUCCGCCUGGGGAGUACGACCGCAAGGUUGAAACUCAAAGGAAUUGACGGGGGCCCGCACAAGCGGUGGAGCAUGUGGUUUAAUUCGAAGCAACGCGAAGAACCUUACCAGGUCUUGACAUCCCGAUGCUAUUUCUAGAGAUAGAAAGUUACUUCGGUACAUCGGUGACAGGUGGUGCAUGGUUGUCGUCAGCUCGUGUCGUGAGAUGUUGGGUUAAGUCCCGCAACGAGCGCAACCCCUAUUGUUAGUUGCCAUCAUUCAGUUGGGCACUCUAGCGAGACUGCCGGUAAUAAACCGGAGGAAGGUGGGGAUGACGUCAAAUCAUCAUGCCCCUUAUGACCUGGGCUACACACGUGCUACAAUGGUUGGUACAACGAGUUGCGAGUCGGUGACGGCAAGCUAAUCUCUUAAAGCCAAUCUCAGUUCGGAUUGUAGGCUGCAACUCGCCUACAUGAAGUCGGAAUCGCUAGUAAUCGCGGAUCAGCACGCCGCGGUGAAUACGUUCCCGGGCCU
rnacentral:rRNA from 1 species